rnacentral:rRNA from 2 species
USGCGGCGUGCCUAAUACAUGCAAGUCGAACGAGUUCUGAUUAUUGAAAGGUGCUUGCAUCUUGAUUUAAUUUUGAACGAGUGGCGGACGGGUGAGUAACACGUGGGUAACCUGCCCUUAAGUGGGGGAUAACAUUUGGAAACAGAUGCUAAUACCGCAUAAAUCCAAGAACCGCAUGGUUCUUGGCUGAAAGAUGGCGUAAGCUAUCGCUUUUGGAUGGACCCGCGGCGUAUUAGCUAGUUGGUGAGGUAACGGCUCACCAAGGCAAUGAUACGUAGCCGAACUGAGAGGUUGAUCGGCCACAUUGGGACUGAGACACGGCCCAAACUCCUACGGGAGGCAGCAGUAGGGAAUCUUCCACAAUGGACGCAAGUCUGAUGGAGCAACGCCGCGUGAGUGAAGAAGGCUUUCGGGUCGUAAAACUCUGUUGUUGGAGAAGAAUGGUCGGCAGAGUAACUGUUGUCGGCGUGACGGUAUCCAACCAGAAAGCCACGGCUAACUACGUGCCAGCAGCCGCGGUAAUACGUAGGUGGCAAGCGUUAUCCGGAUUUAUUGGGCGUAAAGCGAGCGCAGGCGGUUUUUUAAGUCUGAUGUGAAAGCCCUCGGCUUAACCGAGGAAGUGCAUCGGAAACUGGGAAACUUGAGUGCAGAAGAGGACAGUGGAACUCCAUGUGUAGCGGUGAAAUGCGUAGAUAUAUGGAAGAACACCAGUGGCGAAGGCGGCUGUCUGGUCUGUAACUGACGCUGAGGCUCGAAAGCAUGGGUAGCGAACAGGAUUAGAUACCCUGGUAGUCCAUGCCGUAAACGAUGAAUGCUAGGUGUUGGAGGGUUUCCGCCCUUCAGUGCCGCAGCUAACGCAUUAAGCAUUCCGCCUGGGGAGUACGACCGCAAGGUUGAAACUCAAAGGAAUUGACGGGGGCCCGCACAAGCGGUGGAGCAUGUGGUUUAAUUCGAAGCAACGCGAAGAACCUUACCAGGUCUUGACAUCUUUUGAUCACCUGAGAGAUCAGGUUUCCCCUUCGGGGGCAAAAUGACAGGUGGUGCAUGGUUGUCGUCAGCUCGUGUCGUGAGAUGUUGGGUUAAGUCCCGCAACGAGCGCAACCCUUAUGACUAGUUGCCAGCAUUUAGUUGGGCACUCUAGUAAGACUGCCGGUGACAAACCGGAGGAAGGUGGGGAUGACGUCAAAUCAUCAUGCCCCUUAUGACCUGGGCUACACACGUGCUACAAUGGAUGGUACAACGAGUUGCGAGACCGCGAGGUCAAGCUAAUCUCUUAAAGCCAUUCUCAGUUCGGACUGUAGGCUGCAACUCGCCUACACGAAGUCGGAAUCGCUAGUAAUCGCGGAUCAGCACGCCGCGGUGAAUACGUUCCCGGGCCUUGUACACACCGCCCGUCACACCAUGAGAGUUUGUAACACCCGAAGCCGGUGGCGUAACCCUUUUAGGGAGCGAGCCGUCUAAGGUGGGACAAAUGAUUAGGGUGAAGUCG